rnacentral:rRNA from 1 species
AAUGGCCUAACGGCUGAACUGGCAACUUGGAAAAGUGGCAAGUCCUACUUUGAUUAUAUCGUAGAAUAUAAUCUAUAGGAUUGUAUUAAAAUUGAAUAAAGCUUUGUUUAUAUAUUGAUAAUGACAGUAUAUAUAUCGUGUCUUGACUAAUUACGUGCCAGCAGUCGCGGUAAUACGUAAGAGACUAGUGUUAUUCAUCUUAAUUAGGUUUAAAGGGUACCUAGACGGUCAAUAUAGCUUCUAGAAUGUUAGUACUUGACUAGAGUUUUAUGUAAGAGGGUAGUACUUGAGGAGGAGAGAUGAAAUUCUAUGAUACCAAAGGGACUCGGUAAAGGCGAAGGCAACCCUCUAUGUAAAAACUGACGUUGAAGGACGAAGGCACAGAGAACAAACAGGAUUAGAUACCCAAGUAGUCUUUGCAGUAAAUGAUGAAUGCCAUAGGUCAGAUUAAGAUUUAAUAACUUAGUUCUUCAGUAAGGAACUAAAUAUUAAACAUUAUUUGGUCUAUAAAUGAAAGUGUAAGCAUUUCACCUCAAGAGUAAUGUGGCAACGCAGGAACUGAAAUCACUAGACCGUUUCUGACACCAGUAGUGAAGUAUGUUGUUUAAUUCGAUGAUCCACGAAAAACCUUACCACAAUUUGUAUAAUUAUUACAGGAGUUGCACGGCUGUUUUCAGUUAAUGUUGUGAAACUGUGGUUUCCAUGAAAUUAACGCAAUCCCUGGCUUUA